UAUGUCAGAGCAUGAGAAGGAACAGUUUGAUGAGUGGAACAAAAUAGUCACCGGUGAGGUGUUUGACUUAAAAAAAAAAAGAGAAUUAGCAUUGUAUGGCAAGAGUGAUGUUGUUUUGUUCAGAGAGGCUUUCAUAAAGUGUUAUGAAUUCAUACACUGCACAGACCUUGAUCCAUUCAAAUACACCACGCUAGCUGCUUGUUGUAUGUCUGUGUACAAAACACACUACCUGCCAAAAGAUACACUAGCCCUGACACAAAACAAUGCUUAUGCUUAUCACUUGAACGGAUGUCAACCGUGCUGUGAUAUGAAUAAAGUUUAACAUUUUUGUUUCCAUUUCUAAAACAGACGUGGGGUCCAGAUGUUGCUCUGAUGACUGUGUGUGUGACUUGAGACGUUUUAGCUGUCUCCUUCCUUAGAAACGCUCUCUUUUUUACCUUUGUCUCACGUGCUGCAAUCGCAUUUGUUCCCAUGCUUCCUUGCGUGUGUUAGUUUCGGCCAUUAGUUGUUGAUUGUUGUCGGGCGUUGCCAACGGCAUGAAAAGUAUGUAAACAACAGUAACAGCUCAGUCUUCAGGUGAAGCAGUUAUCAACAGGAGUCUACAGAAACGUGUAUGUGUGUUUGUUUUAAGACUUGCGAUGUUUAGCGCAGUGUCGUUGCUAAGAAACGCUCUCUUGUUUACCUUUGUCUCACGUGUUGCAAUCGCGUUUGUUCCAAUGCAUCCUCACGUGUGUUAGUUUUGACCAUUAAAUGUUGAUUGUUGUCGGGCGUGGCCUGCUGAUUUUCAGUCCACAGUUCAAGCACUUAUUUAAGCAGUCAGUCCACCACGGCAGCGGUCGCAGGAGCCCUCGUUGUGUGAAGACCGAGCAGUGUAAAAACCAUCAACUCUACAUGUGCGACUCCACCGAGCAGGGACACCGAUUGGGCACUUUUUGUGCUAACUUUUUGUAUUUAUCUAUCUACCUUUUUUCCUCUCUUGCACAUUUCCUAUUCUUAUAAUGUCACUACAAUUUGUAAAUCAGUUGUAUCACGUCACCGCGGGAGAAAUGAUAAUAACCUUCGCAUUCUCCCUCCAUCCACUACCACCUUACUGACUUUUCCCACUGGCUCAUGGAACUGCCAAUCUGCUGUAAACAACGCAGAUUUCAUUACUGCUACUGCUUCACAUUCUGGUCUCUCUGUUCUAACACUUACUGAGACAUGGAUUAAACCAAAGGACACUACCACUCCAGCUGCCCUCUCCAACAACUACACUUUCUCCCACAGUCCUCGCACAACAGGAAGGGGUGGAGGGACUGGUCUGCUUAUUCCAAAGGACUCAAAAUUCCAACAGCAAACACCCGCAACCCUCUUUCGAGUCGCAUGUUGUUACAAUCACCCACCCUACUAAAAUCCAUUUUCUAGUUAUCUACGCCUCCCAGGUCAAAUAAUACACUUCUUGGAUGAGUUGGAUGUACUUCUGUCUUUAUUCCCAGAGGAUGGUACUCCUUUAGUAGUACUUGGUAACCUUCAACAUCCACCUUGAGAAAUCACAGGCAGCUGACUUUAACACCCCGACUGCGUUGUUUGACCUCAAGCGAGUCCCAACUUCACCAACCCACAGGUUUGGUAAUCUUUUAGAUCUUUUCUACACACACUGAUGUUCCACUUAUCACACCCAGGUCACCCCACUACACACAUCUGAUCACUUCCUCCUCACUCUUGAGCUCGACCUAACUCCCCCAGUCACUGCAACCUGCGCACGCUCCCUCCCUCUUGCUUAUCCUCUGUGGUCGCUUCCACGCUCCUCCCUCCCAACCAACUCUCUCUGUUAGAUACUGACAACGCCACCAACACACUAUGUUCCACUCUUACAUCCUGCUUGGACAGAUUAUUUCCUAUGACAUCUGGACUGGUCUGGGCCACACCACCUGUCCCUUGGCUAUCUGAGGUUCUGGAUCUAUCUGCCGCUUUUGACAUGGUCAAUCACCACAUCUUCCUGUCGACCCUCAUGACUAUGGGUGUCUCUCACACAGCGCUUCUAUGGCUCAAGUCAUACCUCCUGAGGCAGGUCAUUUCGAACCCCAAUGUCUCCGAACCCCAACGUCUCGAUACCGGGUGCCUCAGCUCUGUGCUUGGACCACUGCUCUUUUUGAUAUACUGUACAUGAUAUCCCUGGGCUUUGUCAUAUAAAAACAUGGCUUUUCCUACCACUGCUAUGGGGAUGACACUCAACUCCACUUGUCGCUCCACCCUGAUGAUUUCACGGUUUUUGUUCGCAUCUCAGCAUGCCUGAGGGACAUCACAAGGUUAAGCUUAGCUUCACGGAGCAUGUUGCCAGCACCGCUCACUCUUGUAGAUUUAUCCUCUACAAUAUUAGGAAAAUUAGACAUUUCCUAAAUGAGCACGCUACGCACUACGCAGGUCCUAGUCCAAGUUGUCCUGUCCAGACUGUACUACUGCAAUGUGCUACUGGCUGGACUUCCGGCCUGCACAACCAAACCCCUACAGAUGAUUCAGAACGCAGGGGCAAGAGUGGUCUUCAACGAGCCAAAUAGGGUGCAGGUCACUCCUCUUUUUGUCAAGUUGCACUGGUUUCCUAUAGCAGCUAGCAUCAAAUUUAAAGCUCUGCUCCUUGCCUUUAAAACCACCACUGGGUCAGCACCCCCUUACCUUUACUUGCUUAUACAGCUUUAUGUACCCUCUCAAUACCCUGCGCUCUGCCCCCGAGUGACGGCUUUUGGUGCCACCCCAAAAAGGGGAAAAACAUUAGCAUGUACCUUCUCAGGAGCUGUUCCACAACUGUGAAAUCAUAUGCCGGUUGCGACACAAUCUGCUGACUCUGUAGUUGUCUUUAAGAAUCUGCUAAAAACACAUCUCUUCCGCCAUUACCUCACUUUCUAAUAUAGGACUUACAAUCUUUCUAUACUUCUUUGUUUUCUUUAUCUGUACAUUUCUUUUAAAAAAAAUUAAACAACCCUUGGCUAUGUAUACUGUGUUGGACUUAAUGAGACUAUUUCCAGUGCACUUAUGUAUUGCCGUUCUUGUGUUGCUAUAUUUGCUUCUAUUGUUUACCUCAUUUUGUAAGUCGCUUUGGACAAAAGUGUCUGGUAAAUGUAAGUAACCCCACAACAUGCGUGUUUAUACUGUGUGCUGUGAAUUACAAAGGCUAGAAUCUUUCUCUCAAGUGUUGUUUUAGGUGUUCUGAACAACCCCGACUUCGGUGGUGUUGCAAGAGAAAUUCUUCAUUUAAAUACUACAUCGGGUGAGUUUUAACAUUUUCUUUAUAGGUUUUAAAGAGUCACUAAUUUGAGCACAAAAAAGUUCAUAUUUAUUGUUGUUGUCUACCACAAUACUGUUGUUUGAAUUAAAGUUAAAAAAAAACAUAAUUUUUCUCAUGUUAUAGAUAUUUGCAACAUUUUGUCAGGUUCAGAAACACAAACACAGAUCCAAAUGCAGAUAUGACUUUUUAUUUAGCACAAUAAGGAGAGAGAGAGGAGUGCUGAAAGAGAUCCACUGCUUGGUGACAGGGUGAGAGUUCCACUGGUAGAUACUAGGAUGUGAGUUCCGCUGCUUGGUGACAGGGUAAGAGUUCUGCUGGGCAAAUCCCGCUGCUUCGAGUCUAGACGAGAUGUCCGCUGUACAUAGACGGGGAAGUUUCCGCUGCCCAAGACAGAGUGAAUAUUCUGUGAUGCGAUGACAAGAUGUGACCUCCACUGAAUGUAGACUGAGAGAGGCUCCACUGUACGUAGACAUGGUGAUGAUUCCGCUGUACGAUGACAGGGUGAUGUUUCCGCUGUACGAUGACAGGGUGAUGUUUCCGCUGUACGAUGACAGGGAUGAUGAUUCUGCUGUACGAAGACAGGGUGCGAUGAUGACAGCAAAGCAGGCUGUAGAGUUUCUGUAACAUGCCGCGGAUGGUCAGCAUACAGUGCUGGACAGCGACAGUACUGAAGAGGCGGAGAGAAUGUCAGAAGCAGCGAGAGCCCAUGGUGAAGUAAUCCUGAGGGCAGAGAAAACACACAGAGCACACCAGGCAGCACAGAACGACACAGCAGAGCGCACAGAUGACAAAAUAAACUACGAAAACUAGAACUAGAUAAAAGGAAAAAAAAACUGGACAAGACUGGGACGGCGAAGCACAUAACAUAACGAACUCGCAGGGAAACAGAGGGAGGAAGAGAACUAAAUAGCAAACCGUGGGAGAGAAAAUUGACAACAGGUGUGGGGCGCAGGUGAAAGGAAGCGGGAGGAGGAGCACCUGAAUGCUUCAUUUUGUAACCAAAUUACAUUUUCCCAUGUUGUGUUACCAUGGCCGCAGCUACAGGAUCACGGAAGUUCGGACCUCUGUAAUUAAUGCCCUGGUGAACAUCUGGCAACUGUGCCAGAAUUCCAAGCGAAGCUGAAAACAUCUGCUGCAAAGAAAUAAUAAAGGUUGUAAGGCAAAUCAACCAGGUUCCAGAGCCUCCUGCAUGUAUGACACACCAUCCGGAUUUUGUACCCAGCUGUUUCAAUCCCUACACCAUGCAGAACAUCCACAACAUUUAUAGGGCUGAUAAUGGGCCUUUAAGGCGUAGAACAGAAGAGGAGUAUGUUUUUUGAUAUACACUAAAAUGGUUUAACUAAAACACAGCAAAAGAGUGUAAAGUAAAUAUUGUGAUUAAAAAACACAAUUAAAUAUUUACACUUGCAUUGUUUUUUUCAACAGAGGUUAUCGGUUUCUUGCUUAUCGCAGCUUUGUCAGCUGGUGUUGGGGAUACUUAGGGCGGCAUGUCAGGGUUGUUAUCCCGUCCUAUGUUGUACUCCGGAGUUUCCAGAUUUGGCUGGCCACUAUGUUGGCUUCCGACCACCUCUUGACAGAAGCGUGAGACAUGGUGGGCAAUCACUUCGUCCUAUGAGGGUCUGUCAUAUUGUGACACCAGGUUCGUGGGAACUGGUAUUUCUUUAGUUGAGUAACAAAUGGUACUGGGUCCUCAAACACAUCAUUAAAAAAGAGCAUGAUAAGAUCAUCUACAUAAUCUAAA